rnacentral:rRNA from 1 species
UACGUAGGGUGCAAGCGUUGUCCGGAAUUAUUGGGCGUAAAGAGCUCGUAGGCGGUCUGUCGCGUCGGCUGUGAAAACUCGGGGCUCAACUCCGAGCUUGCAGUCGAUACGGGCAGGCUAGAGUUCGGUAGGGGAGACUGGAAUUCCUGGUGUAGCGGUGAAAUGCGCAGAUAUCAGGAGGAACACCGAUGGCGAAGGCAGGUCUCUGGGCCGAUACUGACGCUGAGGAGCGAAAGCGUGGGGAGCGAACAGG